AUGGCGAUGAGCUUCUUGUCCACCGCUAACACAUCGUUCGUGCCCUUCCGCCGCCUCUCCCGCCACAAGCCCACCGCCGCCCCCUCGCUCCCGUUCCCCAUCAAUCGCUGCCGCUCACCCUCCUGCUCCCUUCUCCCUUCCCAGCGCCGGCGCCUCUUCUCUUCCAAGACCCCCACCACCAACCUCCUCUCAUCAAUCACGGCCGCCACGAGAACCCUGCUCUUCCUUCUCGUCGCCUCCAUCCUCUCCCUCUCCGGCGUCCGGCGCCCCCUCCCGUCACUCGCCGCCCCUCCCCCACCCACGCAGCAACCGCAAGACGACACCAAGGGACAGCAAGAAGAAGAACCCGACCAAGGGGAUCAGGAAGAGGAGGACGAGGCGGAGUGGUUUCGGAAGGAGGAGGAGGAGGUGGAGGCGGCCUGGAUGCAGCCAAGCGACGACGAGGAGGAGGAAGAGGACGACGACGAGGUCCAGAUGUACCUGGAGGUCCUGAGCGAGGACCCGGGCGACGUGGACGCGCUCAAGUGCGUGCUCUUCGCCAGGAUGCGGCGCAAGGACUGGGGCGGCGCGCUGCGCUACGCGGCGCAGCUGCGGGAGGCCGAGCCCGGCGAGGUGGAGUGGCGGCUCAUGGAGGCGCUGCUGCACGAGCUCAAGGGGGACAUCGCCACCGCCGAGCGGCUCUUCCAGGAGGUCCUCGCGGAGAAGCCCCUCCUCGUCCGGGCUCUCCAUGGACUCGCAUUGUGCAUGCAUAAAAGACUCGAAGGACCAACUGUUUUUGAGAUGCUGGAGAAAGCUUUGCAACUCGUAGUAUCCGAGGAAAGGGUCCCAGAAGAGCGCAACAUAAAGCUUCUGAUUGCACAGAUGCAUGUUGUCAAGGGUGACCUGGAUGUUGCAUCAGAGAAAUUGAGAACUCUUAUUAAUGAGGAUCCAAGGGACUUUCGGCCUCAUCUUUGCCAGGGCAUUGUAUAUGCACUUUUGGACAAAAAGGAAGAAGCAGACGAGCAAUUUGAUGUGUACAGAAGCCUUGUGCCGGACGAGUUCCCGGACAAGAGUUUUAUCAAUGAUGUUAUACUAUUGGCCAAAGUGGAGUCAAAAGAUCGGCUACAGAAGGACUUUAGAUCAGAGUACCUAUCUAAAAAGUGA
rnacentral:rRNA from 1 species